rnacentral:rRNA from 1 species
AGAGUUUGAUCCUGGCUCAGGACGAACGCUGGCGGCGCGCCUAACACAUGCAAGUCGAACGGAGUUAUUUUGGCAGAAGCCUUCGGGUGGACGCUGAUAUGACUUAGUGGCGAACGGGUGAGUAACACGUGAGCAACCUGCCCUUCAGAGGGGGACAACAGUUGGAAACGACUGCUAAUACCGCAUAAGACCACGGUGUGGCAUCACACAGAGGUCAAAGGAGAAAUCCGCUGAAGGAUGGGCUCGCGUCCAAUUAGCUAGAUGGUGAGGUAACGGCCCACCAUGGCGACGAUUGGUAGCCGGACUGAGAGGUUGAUCGGCCACAUUGGGACUGAGACACGGCCCAGACUCCUACGGGAGGCAGCAGUGGGGAAUAUUGCACAAUGGAGGAAACUCUGAUGCAGCGACGCCGCGUGAGGGAAGAAGGUCUUCGGAUUGUAAACCUCUGUUGUC